AUUGAACGCUGGCGGCAGGCCUAACACAUGCAAGUCGAGCGGAGCGGCGGACGGGUGAGUAAUGCCUAGGAAUCUGCCUGGUAGUGGGGGAUACCGUCCGGAAACGGGCGCUACUACCGCAUACUAUCAGAUGAGCCUAGGGCGGAUUAGCUAGUUGGUGGGGUAAAGUCCUACCAUGGCGACGAUCCGUAACUGGUCUGAGAGGAUGAUCAGUCACACUGGAACUGAGACAGGGCCCAGACUCCUGCGGGAGGAAGCAGUGGGUAAUAUUGCACAAUGGACGAAAGCCUGAUCCAGCCAUGCCGCGUGUGUGAUGAAGGUCUUCGGAUUGUAAAGCACUUUAAGUUGGUAGGCGUUACCAACAGAAUAAGCACCGGCUAACUACGUGCCAGCCGCCGCGGUAAUUC
rnacentral:rRNA from 1 species